rnacentral:rRNA from 1 species
CAGCCGCCGCGGUAGUACGUAGGGUGUGAGCGUUAAUCGGAAUUACUGGGCGUAAAGCGUGCGCAGGCGGUUUUGUAAGACAGGCGUGAAAUCCCCGGGCUCAACCUGGGAAUGGCGCUUGUGACUGCAAAGCUAGAGUGCGGCAGAGGGGGAUGGAAUUCCGCGUGUAGCAGUGAAAUGCGUAGAUAUGCGGAGGAACACCGAUGGCGAAGGCAAUCCCCUGGGCCCGCACUGACGCUCAUGCACGAAAGCGUGGGGAGCAAACAGGAUUAGAUACCCGCGUAGUCCCUGUCUCUUAUAC